UACGUAGGGGGCGAGCGUUGUCCGGAUUUAUUGGGCGUAAAGAGCUCGUAGGCGGUUUGGUAAGUCGGGUGUGAAAUCUCCACGCUCAACGUGGAGGGGCCACUCGAUACUGCCAUGACUCGAGUCCGGUAGAGGAGUGUGGAAUUCCCGGUGUAGCGGUGAAAUGCGCAGAUAUCGGGAGGAACACCAGUGGCGAAGGCGACUUCCUGGCCUGUUCUUGACGCUUAGGCGCGAAAGCUAGGGUAGCAAACGGG
rnacentral:rRNA from 1 species